rnacentral:rRNA from 1 species
CCUACGGGAGGCAGCAGUGAGGAAUAUUGGUCAAUGGGCUUACGCCUGAACCAGCCAAGUCGCGUGAGGGAAGACUGCCCUAUGGGUUGUAAACCUCUUUUGUCAGGGAGCAAUUGGCGCUACGUGUAGCGUUAUCGAGAGUACCUGAAGAAAAAGCAUCGGCUAACUCCGUGCCAGCAGCCGCGGUAUUACGGAGGAUGCGAGCGUUAUCCGGAUUUCUUGGGUUAAAAGGGGUCGUAGGGGGACUGCCAGGUCAGCGGGAAAGUCGCGGGGCGCAACCUCGCUCCGCCGUUGAAACUGGCGUUGUGGGGUGCGCGAGAGGUAUGCGGAAUGCGUGGGGUAGCGGUGAAAUGCAU